rnacentral:rRNA from 1 species
UACGUAGGGUGCAAGCGUUAUCCGGAAUUAUUGGGCGUAAAGAGCUCGUAGGCGGUUUGUCGCGUCUGCUGUGAAAACCCGAGGCUCAACCUCGGGCCUGCAGUGGGUACGGGCAGACUAGAGUGCGGUAGGGGAGAGUGGAAUUCCCGGUGUAGUGGUGGAAUGCGUAGAUAUCGGGAGGAACACCAGUGGCGAAAGCGGCUCUCUGGGGGCGAUCUGACGCUGAGGCGCGAAAGCGUGGGGAGCAAACAGG